rnacentral:rRNA from 1 species
UUCUGGAACAGUACUGACGCUGAGGCGCGAAAGCGUGGGUAGCAAACAGGAUUAGAUACCCUGGUAGUCCACGCCCUAAACGAUGAAUGUUAGUCGUCGGUUAGCUAGUCUAAUCGGUGAUGCACUUAACAGAUUAAACAUUCCGCCUGGGGAGUACGGUCGCAAGAUUAAAACUCAAAGGAAUAGACGGGGACCCGCACAAGUGGUGGAGCAUGUGGUUUAAUUCGAAGAUACGCGAAGAACCUUACCUGGCCUUGACAUUGAUAGAAUCCUGUAGAGAUACGGGAGUGCCCUUCGGGGAGCUUGAAAACAGGUGCUGCACGGCUGUCGUCAGCUCGUGUCGUGAGAUGUUGGGUUAAGUCCCGCAACGAGCGCAACCCUCGUGAUUAGUUACUAACGGUUCGGCCGAGGACUCUAAUCAGACUGCCUUCGUAAGAAGGAGGAAGGUGAGGACGACGUCAAGUCAUCAUGGCCCUUACGGCCAGGGCGACACACGUGCUACAAUGGGUAGGACAAUGAGACGCAAUACCGCGAGGUGGAGUAAAUCUAUAAACCUACUCUCAGUUCGGAUUGUUCUCUGCAACUCGAGAGCAUGAAGCUGGAAUCACUAGUAAUCGUAGAUCAGCCAUGCUACGGUGAAUACGUUCCCGGGUCUUGUACUCACCGCCCGUCACACCAUGGGAGUUGAUUUCACCCGAAGCGGGGAAGCUAAAUUGGCUACCCUCCACGGUGGAAUCAGCGACUGGGGUGAAGUGGUAACAAGGUAACCAAGGGCGAA